AUGGACUCCUCUUCGUCCUCCGUCCCUGCGGCUGCGGAGGGGGCGCUUCCGGCGGGGGAGAAUCUGGCUGUGUUCUGGCACGAGGGCAUGCUGGCCCACGACGCCGGCCGCGGCGUGUUCGACUCGGGCCGCGACCCGGGCUUCCUCGACGUGCUCGACCACCACCCGGAGAACGCCGACCGCGUCCGCAACAUGGUAUCCAUCCUCCGCCGCGGGCCCAUCGCGCCCUUCCUCUCUUGGCACUCCGGCACCCCCGCCCACGCCAGCGACCUCCUCUCCUUCCACUCCCCAGAAUACAUUGAGGAGCUCGUGCAGGCGAAUGCCAGUGGACCCAAGAAGUUAUGUGAGGGUACUUUCUUGAACUCUGGUUCAUGGGGCGCUGCGCUUCUGGCUGCCGGAACAACCUUAUCAGCUGUGAGGCACAUACUAGACGGGCAUGGGAAGAUAGCCUACGCAUUGGUCCGCCCCCCUGGCCAUCACGCGCAGCCGGACCAUGCCGACGGUUACUGCUUUCUGAACAACGCCGGGCUUGCUGUGCAGCUGGCUCUGGAUUCUGGCCGCGCAAAGGUUGCCGUUGUUGACAUAGAUGUGCACUAUGGAAAUGGUACCGCAGAGGGCUUCUAUCGCACGGACAACGUGUUGGCAAUCUCUCUUCACAUGAAGCAUGGUACUUGGGGUCCUUCGCAUCUGCAGAGUGGCUCGGCUGAUGAGAUUGGGGAAGGCAAGGGGCUUGGGUACAAUCUCAAUAUACCUUUGCCUAAUGGCAGUGGGGAUAAAGGCUAUGAGUAUGCAAUGAAUGAAUUGGUUGUCCCGGCGAUUGACAAGUUUCAACCUCAGCUUUUGGUUUUUGUCAUUGGCCAAGAUUCUAGCAUGUUUGAUCCAAAUGGAAGACAGUGCUUGACCAUGGAUGGUUACAGGAAAAUUGGACAAAUAAUGAGGGGCGUGGCUAAUCGACAUAGCGAUGGGCAAAUGUUGAUUGUCCAGGAAGGGGGUUACCACAUCAGUUAUUCAGCAUAUUGUCUGCAUGCGACACUAGAAGGCGUUCUGAAUCUUGAGGCCCCAUUGCUGGACGACCCAAUCGCAUACUAUCCCGAGGAUGAGAAGUACACCAUGGAAGCUGUCGACGUCACGAAGAAACGCUGGAAAGAAUCCAUUCCCUUCUUGAAGGACAUUUAA
rnacentral:rRNA from 1 species